rnacentral:rRNA from 1 species
UAGCGGCGGAGGGUGAGUACACGUGGGUAACCUGCCUGUAAGACUGGGAUAACUCCGGGAAACCGGAGCUAAUACCGGAUAGUUCCUUGAACCGCAUGGUUCAAGGAUGAAAGACGGUUUCGGCUGUCACUUACAGAUGGACCCGCGGCGCAUUAGCUAGUUGGUGAGGUAACGGCUCACCAAGGCGACGAUGCGUAGCCGACCUGAGAGGGUGAUCGGCCACACUGGGACUGAGACACGGCCCAGACUCCUACGGGAGGCAGCAGUAGGGAAUCUUCCGCAAUGGACGAAAGUCUGACGGAGCAACGCCGCGUGAGUGAUGAAGGUUUUCGGAUCGUAAAGCUCUGUUGUUAGGGAAGAACAAGUGCAAGAGUAACUGCUUGCACCUUGACGGUACCUAACCAGAAAGCCACGGCUAACUACGUGCCAGCAGCCGCGGUAAUACGUAGGUGGCAAGCGUUGUCCGGAAUUAUUGGGCGUAAAGGGCUCGCAGGCGGUUUCUUAAGUCUGAUGUGAAAGCCCCCGGCUCAACCGGGGAGGGUCAUGG